GAUGAACGCUGGCGGCGUGCUUAACACAUGCAAGUCGAGCGAAGCAGUUAAGAAGAUUCUUCGGAUGAUUCUUGACUGACUGAGCGGCGGACGGGUGAGUAACGCGUGGGUGACCUGCCCCAUACCGGGGGAUAACAGCUGGAAACGGCUGCUAAUACCGCAUAAGCGCACAGAGCUGCAUGGCUCGGUGUGAAAAACUCCGGUGGUAUGGGAUGGGCCCGCGUCUGAUUAGGCAGUUGGCGGGGUAACGGCCCACCAAACCGACGAUCAGUAGCCGGCCUGAGAGGGCGACCGGCCACAUUGGGACUGAGACACGGCCCAAACUCCUACGGGAGGCAGCAGUGGGGAAUAUUGCACAAUGGGGGAAACCCUGAUGCAGCGACGCCGCGUGAGCGAAGAGGUAUUUCGGUAUGUAAAGCUCUAUCAGCAGGGAAGAUAAUGACGGUACCUGACUAAGAAGCCCCGGCUAACUACGUGCCAGCAGCCGCGGUAAUACGUAGGGGGCAAGCGUUAUCCGGAUUUACUGGGUGUAAAGGGAGCGUAGACGGCAAGGCAAGUCUGAUGUGAAAACCCAGGGCUUAACCCUGGGACUGCAUUGGAAACUGUCUGGCUCGAGUGCCGGAGAGGUAAGCGGAAUUCCUAGUGUAGCGGUGAAAUGCGUAGAUAUUAGGAAGAACACCAGUGGCGAAGGCGGCUUACUGGACGGUAACUGACGUUGAGGCUCGAAAGCGUGGGGAGCAAACAGG
rnacentral:rRNA from 1 species